GGCGAGUCUUUGGGAUUUUCUAUUAGCAUUUUGAGCGAUGAGUUUAGGGGUUUUCUAUCAUGAAGAACUACAAAAAUAUUUCUGAAGAUGGAUUCAAGUUCAGCAACAAAUAAAACAGGCGAGUUUAAAGACAAAUUCUAUAAUUUCUUUACCAUAUAAAAUUUAUGUUUUUAUUCCUGCGUAGAAUGAAUCUUGUAGGAUAGUUUAAAUUUGGGGUUUUCGUUCUUUGUUCCAAUUGAUGAUCAAUUUGGGUUAAACACUGGAUUUGUUUUUGUGCAUUUUCCAAGUGUUUUAGUUUAUUUAUUGUUCUGUUAUGCUUGGAGCCCAAUUUUCAACUAACUCAACCAAUAACCAGCAAUUAUAAACUCAAGAAGUAGAAUAUAAAUUAUAAUUGCUCAAAGUAAGGAAUAUAAACUGAAGUUACAAACACGAACCAGUUUAUGUCUAACCAAAAUCAACCAUUAAUUCCAUUAAUAGAUGAUUCCAUUACAAUGUAGGGGAAUUACAAUUUACAAGAUAAACUUAAGACAAAGAUAUGGUUCAGCAAAACAAGAAAGAGACAGAGAACUGGAGAAGAUUAAGAAUAGAAGAAGAGGAGAGGAAGAACUAGAGAAGAAGAGAAGAAAGCAAAAGAAACUGGGAAGAAGAGGAAGAAGUAGAACCAAGAAGGAGAGGAGAUGAAGAUUCAAAUAAAAGAAGAAAAGAGAAUAAGUGUAAGCAGAAGAAGAAGCUAACUAGAAGAAACACAGAGGAGAAGAAGAAGCAGCAGAGGGAGGGAAAAGACGACCGGCAACAGCCAAUAUCCAUUCAACCUUUUCCUCGUCAUCUUCUAAGCAAUUUAUAUGUAGAACAAAACAACCUAAAGGGCUUGGGCUAGCCCAACUAGAAAAAUAAAAGCAAAUGCCCAAUCCAUAACAGAAUUCUCUUAUGCUUUUCAUUGAAUCUCUAAGUUAUGGGAUUUAAUAAUUGUGUUCUCUUUUGUUUCCAUUACAAUAUUGUUCUUUACUGGUUCAUUAGGAUGCAUCUUUGAAGACAUUUUCUGGGUCGAAUUGAUGGUCAAUUUUGGGUUUCACUAUGAUAUUUCUAUGAAAUCUAUGAGAGUUUUUGCUGGAUCUUUAAUGGUCGUGUUUGGUGUGAUGAGUUUAAAUAUCAAAAGAAAGUAAUUUUUACUGAUAAGAUAAAAUUUUACACAAUUUUUGAUAUACACUAAGAGCACUAACCUCACUUAUUUAGAAAUGGAGCACUCACAAUAUUUCUCUCUUUUACUUACUACACUCUCUUUUCACUCUCUUUCUCUCUACACUCUUUUUCUAUACUUUCUCUCAUCAUACAUGAUAAGUGUAUUUCAUACACUUAUUUAGGCCCUAAAAUAAUAAUAUUUGAUAGCUCUUUUGACAAAUUAUAUCCUAAAUUGUUGUUUUUUAUGUUUAAUAGGUAAAUUCUUUGAACGAAGAAGGAAGUGAAGGAAAGAAGCAAAACUAGCGGAAAUGGCAGGAUCCAAAAUCGGUUGAGAUUUUUAGAGAGGAAUGCACAUGGCAGUUGUUGAAGAAAAUUUGAGGGAGAUUAUCCACGCAAACAGAGAGAGAAAGGGAGAAAAAAUAAACGUUGCUUCUGGAGGAAUAAAGGGCUGUUUGCUGUUAAAAACAUAGAAUAAUAUACACAAAGAAAAGGCAGUACAAAUGAGAGAGACACAGAUACAAAGACCAAAAGAAUUAUUCAAUUGGUGGCAGAUUUUGAGAAAGAAAGAUGGCUGAAUUUGAAAGGAAAAAGGAGUGGAAAUUGCAAUAAAAGUCGGCAACUACAGAAGAAAAAAAACGGCUGAUUCAUUUUUUCAACUUCAAUCACGUUUUGUCAAUUUCUCGGUGGUGUCUUUCCACAUUUCUUUGUUUAAUUCUAACAAUAUGCCGGCUAAUUUUUUUUUAUAUUGUUAAGAUGUGAUGAACCCUUAUUAUGAAUUUUUAGUUUUAAUAAUUAGAUUGACGUUAAAUUUGUUUGAAUUCUUGUAUGUUUAUUAUGGUU
rnacentral:lncRNA from 1 species